ACAUGAAAGCCGACUAGAGAAAUUCAAGCUAUGUAAGCAGUUGCUGACAACACACACACAAAAUACGACAUUGAGACGGCUGAUGGACCUACAUACACACAUUGAAACCUCGCCUCCAAUCCUAUCGGACCACGACAACACGUUCCUGACGCCGAACUAGCGUUGAAUUGCGCUUGGGAUAUUGGAAUGCUGGAAAUCCUGGAAAGUACAGCAGCUCCAAACACCACGUCGCUGCAGUCAAAGGGAUUGUCAGGACAACAUCAAGAACCCCGCGGAUUACAGUUUUGCGCAGAAGUUGUGCGGAGUAGACUUCAUGACGGCCGCUACUACCAUAUCGACUCUCUGCCGCAAACUACCAAUACCGCCAUGUUCCAGCUAUGACGCAGAUCAACCACCAUUUGUGAACCACUACGCUCAAUGCGCUAAAAACACCGUUAGCCGAUCGGGAAAAAUCGUGCCACCAUCGAGGGCAUUUAGCAGGAUCAUCGCUCGCUAUCUCCUCGAAUUAUCACAGCUAUGACGACAGGCUAGGCCUGUGAACGACUGCGUUAUCGCCGAAAACACCGUUGCCGAUCGGGACAAAUCGAGCCAUCGUCAAGCGCAGCGAGCAACAACACCUUUCACUACCUCCUCGCUUGACGACUAUACAGCUACGUCCAUCACCAAGGGUGAUCAACAAAGAGAUCUUCUUAGACUCAGCAAACACGCACAGCGUCAAUCACCACACUACACCGAACGUGACAGUAUGCCCGACUAGAGCAUUGGUUAACGCCUUCGCAAGCGGAUAGAGCUCAUCCGCAGCGACAGUGCGGAAUUCACGCUGCAAAUCUGCUCCCCGAGCGACAGCAGUAAUUUCCUCGACAUGGACAACACAUACUGAAGCAGUACGGAGUGUGCAGGUAUCGUCUGGACAGGCUCCUCAGUAAAUGGAGGUCAAAAACAGGACCAUGCAGACCGAGAAUACCCGGAAAUGACUCCUCAGCGCCAAGGCGCUUCCCGUUCACGAACCGAGAAAAAUCGUACUCUGUGGGCUGGACGCAGUUCACAGAGAGUUUCGAAUAGAGACAGCGUUGGUUUGUCAAAGCUAGGCGAAUCAAUGCAUCACCGAUAUAGACACCUUUCUACCCGCAAGGCCUCCCGCGGGCUAGCCGUUAGUCAGGGCGAGAGAAACUGACCGUGUUCAUGCUAAACGCAAACACGCCGUUACUGGAACGUGACAAACCAGCAAGAAGCUCUCUUGAGCGCGAUCCGUUAGUCAGGGCGAGAGAAACUGACCGUGUACAUGCCUCGCGCUGUCACGCCGUUACUGGAACGUGACAAACCAGCAAAUCCAGCUAUGCACGCAGAAACACGACUGCCAACAACGGAUGACCACUCCACGAAAAUCCGGACAGACAGACCGUUUGCCGAUCGGAACAAAUCGAGCCGCGGAGAGCAACAUCUGGACAACAGCACCAUUAAACCAUCUAUGAGCCACACCAGCUACGAAUAGAGUAUACUCCACCAAAAUACAGUCUUGGAACAAAACGACAAACCGUACUAAUCUGGAAUGGUGUCACUACAUACGAGGUGAAUCCAGAGUUUGAACCACAUGCUGAACUUGUCCUAAUUUCAGGGGAAGUGGCAUAAACGGGGUCGUCAAGAAAACCCUCCAUUCAAAAGCAACGCGAUCUGGAGGCGCGGUAAAACCUUCAUUCGGGCUCUUGGCGAUCAGGGAACUAAAUUCUCCCUUUCCAUGGAUUUGCUGCUUUUCCCUCCUUUUUUAUCACCAUAGUUUUAACCUCUUUUUUAAUUUUUUAAUUUGUUCAAUGUUUUGUGUUUUUGAGCAAAUGUUUUAAGUUAAGCUACUGUGUUGUGUUCGUAACCGUAGCGGAGGCGAGAAUUUAGAAGCUGGUAUAGGAACGGUCAGAGACGAUUUGCCAAGACUCGUUGGCGUUCGGUCAAGUCUUCCAGAAGUCGCUGGAGUAGUAUUUUGAUUUGGGCCUUUAAGUUUCGAUCUGGCAAGCAUUGCUGUGGCUUGCGUAGUUUCGUGGUUGCCUUAGGGUGGCCAGACCGAUGUCUCUGAUCGUUGCCUAGGUAUAGAGGUUUUUGAAUUUUUCAUGAAUCGUUUGUCUCCGAUUCAUGAAAAAUUCUUCCGUUGCGGUAGUGUAUGUAGCAUUAUAAUUAAGUUUGUCUAGCUAUUUUGUUCUGAGCGUGUAGUGAUUGAGUGUAAACCUACCAAAAAAUGUUUGUUUAGAACUUAGAGUGUAAAUGUCAAAUGCACACGUGGGAAGAAAAAACGAAAACAAGAAUCAACAAAACAACAUCAACGAAAGGAAACACAUCUAGCACCAGCAUUUGCCUUUGCAAAUUGUGACCCGGAUCGUUCUUCUCCUGUAGAAAUUCGCCAUCGCUGUUGAGAAGGAACAGCAGGAAUAUUGGAAGAGCAUCAGCUGCAGUUUUUCGGAAGGCGGUGAGCAUUUCGACGGCAAUCAAACACAAGGCGGAAAGCACUGCACUGCAGCACUGAAGCAUUGCACUGCGACUGGAAAACGAAGAUUACCGAAACGGAAAUAGAACCAAGUGAGAUACGAAGUGGCACUUCAUACGACAAGCCGUCAUAGGGCUCGAGCAAGAGGCGUAUCGCCUCCUCGACGACCACACAACCGACGGUGGAAGUUUUCUUUAGCAACAAACAGGCGGCCCCAACUGGGGUCGUUUUUGGGAGCUGAGAAAAUCGCUUUUCGGGACUCGAUUUUCGCCAUCUUGGUUUUGCGAGUCCCGUUUUUGCGAAAUCAAGCUGCGGACGCGAGG